UUGAUGUCUAAUCGGUCCUGCUAUGUCU
rnacentral:sRNA from 1 species